rnacentral:pre_miRNA from 13 species
CAGGGUGUUCCCUUGUUGUAGUAUUCUCCCCCUUUUCCUAUUGUUGUACCUGAGCGAGUUAGAGAAAACGCCACACUUGGAGACGAAUUAAGAGUCCUUUAUUAG